rnacentral:misc_RNA from 1 species
GAUGAAGAACGCAGCGAAAUGCGAUAAGUAGUGUGAAUUGCAGAAUUCAGUGAAUCAUCGAAUCUUUGAACGCACAUUGCGCCCCUUGGUAUUCCAUGGGGCAUGCCUGUUCGAGCGUCAUUUGUACCCUCAAGCUUUGCUUGGUGUUGGGUGUUUGUCCUCUCCUUUGCGUUUGGACUCGCCUUAAAGCAAUUGGCAGCCAGUGUUUUGGUAUUGAAGCGCAGCACAAUUUGCGAUUCUAACCGACUACACUUGCGUCCAUAAGCCUUUUUUAACUUUUGACCUCGGAUCAGGUAGGGAUACCCGCUGAACUUAAGCAUAUCAAUAAGCGGAGGA